UACAGAGGUCCCGAGCGUUGUUCGGAUUCACUGGGCGUAAAGGGUGCGUAGGCGGCGCGGUAAGUCGGGUGUGAAAUCUCGGAGCUUAACUCCGAAACUGCAUUCGAUACUGCCGUGCUUGAGGACUGGAGAGGAGACUGGAAUUUACGGUGUAGCGGUGAAAUGCGUAGAUAUCGUAAGGAAGACCAGUGGCGAAGGCGGGUCUCUGGACAGUUCCUGACGCUGAGGAGCGAAAGCGUGGGUAGCGAACAGG
rnacentral:rRNA from 1 species